UACGUAGGGUGCAGGCGUUACUCGGAAUUACUGGGCGUAAAGCGUCCGUAGGUGGCUUUUCAAGUCUGCCGUCAAAGACCGGGGCUUAACCCCAGAAAGGCGGUGGAAACUGAAUAGCUAGAGUGCAGUAGGGGUAGAGGGAAUUCCCGGUGUAGCGGUGAAAUGCGUAGAGAUCGGGAAGAACACCCGUGGCGAAAGCGCUCUACUGGACUGCAACUGACACUCAGGGACGAAAGCGAGGGGAGCGAAUGGG
rnacentral:rRNA from 1 species